rnacentral:rRNA from 1 species
GAUGCCCCAGUAACGGCGAGGAAGCGGCAACAGCUCAAAUUUGAAAUCUGCGCCCCUUAGGGCCCGAGUUGUAAUUUGCAGAGGAUGCUUUUGGCGAGGUGCCUUCCGAGUUCCCUGGAACGGGACGCCAUAGAGGGUGAGAGCCCCGUCUGGUUGGAUGCCGAGCCUCUGUAAAGCUCCUUCGACGAGUCGAGUAGUUUGGGAAUGCUGCUCUAAAUGGGAGGUAUAUGUCUUCUAAAGCUAAAUACCGGCCAGAGACCGAUAGCGCACAAGUAGAGUGAUCGAAAGAUGAAAAGCACUUUGAAAAGAGGGUUAAAUAGUACGUGAAAUUGUUGAAAGGGAAGCGCUUAUGACCAGACUUGGACCCGGUGAAUCAUCCAGCGUUCUCGCUGGUGCACUUUGCCGGGCUCAGGCCAGCAUCAGUUUGCCUCGGGGGAUAAAGGCUUUGGGAAUGUGGCUCCCUCGGGAGUGUUAUAGCCCAUUGCACAAUACCCUGGGGCGGACUGAGGUUCGCGCAUCUGCAAGGAUGCUGGCGUAAUGGUCAUCAGCGACCCGUCUUGAAACACGGACCAAGGAGUCGUCUUCGUAUGCGAGUGUUCGGGUGUAAAACCCCUACGCGUAAUGAAAGUGAACGCAGGGUGAGAGCUUCGGCGCAUCAUCGACCGAUCCUGAUGUUCUCGGAUGGAUUUGAGUAAGAGCAUACGGGGCCGGACCCGAAAGAAGGUGAACUAUGCCUGUAUAGGGUGAAGCCAGAGGAAACUCUGGUGGAGGCUCGCAGCGGUUCUGACGUGCAAAUCGAUCGUCAAAUAUGGGCAUGGGGGCGAAAGACUAAUCGAACCUUCUAGUAGCUGGUUUC